rnacentral:rRNA from 1 species
UUAUGAAAGACAGAUGUGAAAUCCCCGGGCUCAACCUGGGAGUUGCGCUUGUGACUGAACGGCUAGAGUACGGCAGAGGGGGGUGGAAUUCCACGUGUAGCAGUGAAAUGCGUAGAUAUGUGGAGGAACACCGAUGGCGAAGGCAGCCCCCUGGGCCGAUACUGACGCUCAUGCACGAAAGCGUGGGGAGCAAACAG